rnacentral:rRNA from 1 species
AACGAACGCUGGCGGCAUGCCUAACACAUGCAAGUCGAACGAGACCUUCGGGUCUAGUGGCGCACGGGUGCGUAACGCGUGGGAAUCUGCCCUUGGGUUCGGAAUAACAGCGAGAAAUUGCUGCUAAUACCGGAUGAUGACGUAAGUCCAAAGAUUUAUCGCCCAAGGAUGAGCCCGCGUAGGAUUAGCUAGUUGGUGAGGUAAAGGCUCACCAAGGCGACGAUCCUUAGCUGGUCUGAGAGGAUGAUCAGCCACACUGGGACUGAGACACGGCCCAGACUCCUACGGGAGGCAGCAGUGGGGAAUAUUGGACAAUGGGCGAAAGCCUGAUCCAGCAAUGCCGCGUGAGUGAUGAAGGCCUUAGGGUUGUAAAGCUCUUUUACCCGGGAUGAUAAUGACAGUACCGGGAGAAUAAGCUCCGGCUAACUACCGUGCC